GCAGUCGUACGCUUCUUUUUCCACCGGAGCUUGCUCCACCGGAAAAAGAAGAGUGGCGAACGGGUGAGUAACACGUGGGUAACCUGCCCAUCAGAAGGGGAUAACACUUGGAAACAGGUGCUAAUACCGUAUAACAAUCGAAACCGCAUGGUUUUGAUUUGAAAGGCGCUUUCGGGUGUCGCUGAUGGAUGGACCCGCGGUGCAUUAGCUAGUUGGUGAGGUAACGGCUCACCAAGGCCACGAUGCAUAGCCGACCUGAGAGGGUGAUCGGCCACAUUGGGACUGAGACACGGCCCAAACUCCUACGGGAGGCAGCAGUAGGGAAUCUUCGGCAAUGGACGAAAGUCUGACCGAGCAACGCCGCGUGAGUGAAGAAGGUUUUCGGAUCGUAAAACUCUGUUGUUAGAGAAGAACAAGGAUGAGAGUAACUGUUCAUCCCUUGACGGUAUCUAACCAGAAAGCCACGGCUAACUACGUGCCAGCAGCCGCGGUAAUACGUAGGUGGCAAGCGUUGUCCGGAUUUAUUGGGCGUAAAGCGAGCGCAGGCGGUUUCUUAAGUCUGAUGUGAAAGCCCCC
rnacentral:rRNA from 1 species